rnacentral:rRNA from 1 species
AGAGUUUGAUUAUGGCUCAGGAUGAACGCUAGCGGCAGGCUUAAUACAUGCAAGUCGAACGGGAUUCGAGGUAGCAAUACUUUGAUGAGAGUGGCGCACGGGUGCGUAACGCGUAUGCAACCUACCUUUAACUGGGAGAUAGCCCCGAGAAAUCGGGAUUAAUACCCCAUAACAUUACGAAUUGGCAUCAAUUUGUGAUUAAAGCUCCGGCGGUUAGAGAUGGGCAUGCGUGACAUUAGCUGGUUGGUGAGGUAACGGCUCACCAAGGCAACGAUGUCUAGGGGUCCUGAGAGGGUUAUCCCCCACACUGGUACUGAGACACGGACCAGACUCCUACGGGAGGCAGCAGUAAGGAAUAUUGGUCAAUGGGCGCAAGCCUGAACCAGCCAUGCCGCGUGCAGGAAGACGGCCCUAUGGGUUGUAAACUGCUUUUAUCAGGGAAUAAACCCCCGCUCGUGAGCGGGGCUGAAGGUACCUGAGGAAUAAGCAUCGGCUAACUCCGUGCCAGCAGCCGCGGUAAUACGGAGGAUGCAAGCGUUAUCCGGAUUCAUUGGGUUUAAAGGGUGCGCAGGCGGAUUGGUAAGUCAGGGGUGAAAUCCCACAGCUCAACUGUGGAACUGCCUUUGAUACUGUCAGUCUAGAGUAUAGUUGAAGUUGGCGGAAUGUGUCAUGUAGCGGUGAAAUGCUUAGAUAUGACACAGAACACCGAUCGCGAAGGCAGCUAGCUAAGCUAUAACUGACGCUCAUGCACGAAAGCGUGGGGAUCAAACAGGAUUAGAUACCCUGGUAGUCCACGCUGUAAACGAUGAUUUACUCGAUGUUGGCGAUACACAGUCAGCGUCUGAGCGAAAGCAAUAAGUAAUCCACCUGGGGAGUACGAUCGCAAGAUUGAAACUCAAAGGAAUUGACGG